UACAGGGGGGGCAAGCGUUGUUCGGAAUUACUGGGCGUAAAGGGCUCGUAGGCGGCCAACUAAGUCCGACGUGAAAUCCCAAAGCUUAACUUUGGAACUGCGUCGGAUACUGGAUGGCUUGAAUUCGGGAGAGGGAUGCAGAAUUCCAGGUGUAGCGGUGAAAUGCGUAGAUAUCUGGAGGAACACCGGUGGCGAAGGCGGCAUCCUGGACCAAUUCUGACGCUGAGUGAGCGAAAGCCAGGGGAGCAAACGGG
rnacentral:rRNA from 1 species